GUGGGGAAUAUUGGACAAUGGGCGCAAGCCUGAUCCAGCCAUGCCGCGUGAGUGAUGAAGGCCCUAGGGUUGUAAAGCUCUUUCACCGGAGAAGAUAAUGACGGUAUCCGGAGAAGAAGCCCCGGCUAACUUCGUGCCAGCAGCCGCGGUAAUACGAAGGGGGCUAGCGUUGUUCGGAAUUACUGGGCGUAAAGCGCACGUAGGCGGACAUUUAAGUCAGGGGUGAAAUCCCGGAGCUCAACUCCGGAACUGCCUUUGAUACUGGGUGUCUGGAGUAUGGAAGAGGUGAGUGGAAUUCCGAGUGUAGAGGUGAAAUUCGUAGAUAUUCGGAGGAACACCAGUGGCGAAGGCGGCUCACUGGUCCAUUACUGACGCUGAGGUGCGAAAGCGUGGGGAGCAAACAGGAUUAGAAACCCUGGUAGUCC
rnacentral:rRNA from 1 species